AUUUUUCUAAAUAGUUUUACUCAAUUACUAUGCAUUUUCUCCCUUUUUUUCAAUUUUUCUAGAUAGGAGACAAAAAUACAGUACAAAAUUAUGAUAGUACUGGAUACAUUCAGUCCAACUGACUUCCUGUUUGUUUUGUCAUUUUUCAUAAAAUCCUGCCUUUUUAUUGUGUAAUCCUAACUGUGCACGAUUAUAUGACAUUGAAUUAUUUGCAUUUCGCAUUAUUUUUCCUGCUGUCGCAUCAGAACUGAAACUCACUUUGUGCUCACCAACACCGAAACACUUCAAAAGCAGUGAUAAAUUUCAGAGUUUCGUCUCAUUCCGCGUCAUUUAGUCAUUCCGCUUCUCCCGCUGGAGACAUCAGUGCCUCGCUCUGGGGUACAGUGGUGAUUGUGUUAGGAGAAACUUAGGAACUAAAACACUUUUCUUCAAGCUGUGUGUGUGUGUGUGUGUGCUGAAGCUGGUUACUGGACUGAGGAUGAUAAAUGUAGAACUAAAUAUAGAAUAAACAGACAAAAUCUGCCACGAGAAUGGGAUGUAAAGCAUUUCAGGCUUCAGAUUUAAACUUUUCUGGAAACUGCAUUUAAAAAAUUUAAAAUAGUUCUUAGUUAUUUCUUUCUGAUAAGGUUGGAUAUCCCUUAUUUGAUCUGUAUUUUAAAAACCUGGAGGGUAAAAACAUGUUGAAUCACAUUGUAACUCUUCACUUUUUCAGAUAUUAAAGCAAUAAUAAACAUUAACAGGAUCUGCUGCUUUAAUGAAAUCAAUAUCAUAAUACCUCUGAAAUAUCUGGUGUCUUAUUUCUGGACGAGCAGCAGCUGCCCUUUCAAACACAUUGUAUUUGUAACAGUUCCAGAUUCCAAGAAACAAAAGAAAGAAGAGAUUCAGAAGAAUCUAUUCUGUAUGGACCCUGAAUAUAAGUGGGUACAAAUAGAAAUGUUCAAAAUUUUUGCAUUUUUGCAAUAUUUGCAUAAAUAAGUCAAAUUAAAAAAAAAAAAAAGUAAUUGAAUUGUAACAUUUAAGAGAGUUACUACUGUGAUGUGUAUUAUUCCAAAAAAAAAAAAAGAUGACAGUGGCAAGAUAUUUAAACUCCAUUUGUAACAGAAAUGAGGGGGGUUUAGGAGAAACCAGACCCAGUCUGUUUUAUAUAUAUAGGUUAUCAAACAUUUUAACAUUAAUAUUCUAAAGGAAAUAGAAUAGCAUAUUAUUGUUAUGAUAAAUAGGACACGUUGCUAGUUACUACGUUUUGAAUAUUCCACUAGAGGGCAGACGUACAUUAUUACAGAUCAUAUACAGGUCCUUCUCAAAAAAUUAGCAUAUUGUGAAAAAGUUCAUUAUUUUCCAUAAUGUAAUGAUAAAAAUUAAACUUUCAUAUAUUUUAGAUUCAUUGCACACCAACUGAAAUAUUUCAGGUCUUUUAUUGUUUUAAUACUGAUGAUUUUGGCAUACAGCUCAUGAAAACCCAAAAUUCCUAUCUUAAAAAAUUUGCAUAUCAUGAAAAGGUUCUCUAAACGAGCUAUUAACCUAAUCAUCUGAAUCAACUAAUUAACUCUAAACACCUGCAAAAGAUUCCUGAGGCUUUUAAAAACUCCCAGCCUGGUUCAUUACUCAAAACCGCAAUCAUGGGUAAGACUGCCGACCUGACUGCUGUCCAGAAGGCCAUCAAAUAGAAUAGCAUAUUAUUGUUAUGAUAAAUAGGACACGUUGCUAGUUACUACGUUUUGAAUAUUCCACUAGAGGGCAGACGUACAUUAUUACAGAUCAUAUACAGGUCCUUCUCAAAAAAUUAGCAUAUUGUGAAAAAGUUCAUUAUUUUCCAUAAUGUAAUGAUAAAAAUUAAACUUUCAUAUAUUUUAGAUUCAUUGCACACCAACUGAAAUAUUUCAGGUCUUUUAUUGUUUUAAUACUGAUGAUUUUGGCAUACAGCUCAUGAAAACCCAAAAUUCCUAUCUUAAAAAAUUUGCAUAUCAUGAAAAGGUUCUCUAAACGAGCUAUUAACCUAAUCAUCUGAAUCAACUAAUUAACUCUAAACACCUGCAAAAGAUUCCUGAGGCUUUUAAAAACUCCCAGCCUGGUUCAUUACUCAAAACCGCAAUCAUGGGUAAGACUGCCGACCUGACUGCUGUCCAGAAGGCCAUCAUUGACACCCUCAAGCGAGAGGGUAAGACACAGAAAGAAAUUUCUGAACGAAUAGGCUGUUCCCAGAGUGCUGUAUCAAGGCACCAC
rnacentral:lncRNA from 1 species